GAUGAACGCUGGCGGCGUGCCUAAUACAUGCAAGUCGAACGAAACUUCUUUAUCACCGAGUGCUUGCACUCACCGAUAAAGAGUUGAGUGGCGAACGGGUGAGUAACACGUGGGCAACCUGCCCAAAAGAGGGGGAUAACACUUGGAAACAGGUGCUAAUACCGCAUAACCAUAGUUACCGCAUGGUAACUAUGUAAAAGGUGGCUAUACUACCGCUUUUGGAUGGGCCCGCGGCGCAUUAGCUAGUUGGUAGGGUAAAGGCUUACCAAGGCAAUGAUGCGUAGCCGAAUUGAGAGGUUGAUCGGCCACAUUGGGACUGAGACACGGCCCAAACUCCUACGGGAGGCAGCAGUAGGGAAUCUUCCACAAUGGGCGAAAGCCUGAUGGAGCGACGCCGCGUGGGUGAAGAAGGUCUUCGGAUCGUAAAACCCUGUUGUUAGAGAAGAAAGUGCGUGAGAGUAACUGUUCACGUUUCGACGGUAUCUAACCAGAAAGCCACGGCUAACUACGUG
rnacentral:rRNA from 1 species